UGCCGAAACGGAUUUUCGAGUGGCGAAGAUCGCUGCUAAGGCCAAAUCUUCACUGUUGAAACCUAACCCCAAUCUAGUUUAACGGUUCUGUUUAGAACUCUUCUGCUGCAUUUAGUCAUUGUGAUGAUUAUAUAAUCACAAUGACGAAGAAAAUUUGUAAUUUUCUAUGUUCUUCUGGUUUUCUCGCCCAGUCCCAGAUGAAAAAAUGCAAGUCUUUAUUAAGACGAGAGAAAGGGUAUUCUCGAUAGAUCCGUUUCUUUUUUUGACCUUUCACAAGGUAACCUGAUUUUU
rnacentral:telomerase_RNA from 1 species